GGACAGGUGACGGAGACUGGACGGGGAACGGAGACUGGACGGGGAACUGGACAGGUGACGGAGACUGGACGGGGAACCGGACAGGUGACGGAGACUGGACGGGGAACCGGACAGGUGACGGAGACUGGACGGGGAACUGGACAGGUGACGGAGACUGGACAUGAGACAGAGACUGGACGGGACCGGACAUGGGAACAGGGACAAGAACAUUGACGGGGACGGAAACAAACACAGUAACAGGGACAGGAACAGAGAAACCACCGGGGACAGGAACUGGAACACUCACAGAUACAGGGACCAGGACAGGGAGAGACAGGGGGACCAAAAAC